GCAGUGUCACGUGUGGUCAAGGUGUUGAAAUAUGGACGCGACUAUGUUAUGUUCCGCCAGGAGAGUUUAGUGAGAAUUGUAGUAAGCAGGGAGCAGCUUAUCGGGUUCAAGUAUGUGAGAUGAAACAUUGCUCAGAUGUUUCCAAAAACCGGACCAUUUCUAUCAUCAUUGCUACUGUUUCUUUCGUGAUUGUCAUUGCAGUUGUUUUGUUCAUUCGAAAACAAAAAGCCAAAGAAGACUCUUCACAUUCCGCAACUCCAGAGAACCGCCCUCCAGAGUACGGCAAUCUUACACCUGAUGGAAAUCCGAUUCCACAACAUUCGCGUGGUGUUGUGCUGUGGAGAAGAGAUUAUGUCAACACACAUUCUUCGCAGAGAUCUUGGUAUGACAGACUCCAACUAUUUCCACCAUUGGCGGUUGAAUGGCUUCGAAACGCAUGGGGAAAUGUUG